UACGUAGGCAGCAAGCGUUGUUCGGAAUUACUGGGCGUAAAGAGCGUGUAGGCGGCCAGGUAGGUCAGCUGUGAAAACUCGAGGCUCAACCUCGAGACGCCGGUUGAAACCAUCUGGCUAGAGUCCGGAAGAGGAGAGUGGAAUUCCUGGUGUAGCGGUGAAAUGCGCAGAUAUCAGGAAGAACACCCGUGGCUAAGGCGGCUCUCUAGUACGGUACUGACGCUGAGACGCGAAAGCGUGGGGAGCGAACAGG
rnacentral:rRNA from 1 species